CACGGACUUCGGUCUGGUGGCGAGUGGCGAACGGGUGAGUAAUAUAUCGGAACGUACCCUGGAGUGGGGGAUAACGCAGCGAAAGUUGCGCUAAUACCGCAUACGAUCUACGGAUGAAAGUGGGGGCUCGCAAGACCUCAUGCUCGUGGAGCGGCCGAUAUCUGAUUAGCUAGUUGGUAGGGUAAAAGCCUACCAAGGCAUCGAUCAGUAGCUGGUCUGAGAGGACGACCAGCCACACUGGGACUGAGACACGGUCCAGACUCCUACGGGAGGCAGCAGUGGGGAAUUUUGCGCAAUGGGCGAAAGCCUGACGCAGCAACGCCGCGUGUGUGAUGAAGGUCUUCGGA
rnacentral:rRNA from 1 species